UCAUCAUACACUGCACAAUAACCAAUUCAGAAACAACAGCUCAUCAUACACUGUACAAUAACCAAUUCAGAAACAACAUCUCACCAUACACUGCACAAUAACCAAUUCAGAACAGCUCACCAAAAACUGUACAAUUACCAAUUCAGAAACAACAGCACAUCAUACACUGUACAAUAACCAAUUCAGAAACAUCUCAUCAUACACUGUACAAUAACCAAUUCAGAACAGCUCACCAAAAACUCAGUACAAUAACCAAUUCAGAAACAACAGCUCAUCACACACUGCACAUUUAACCAAUUCAGAAACAACAGCUCAUCAUACACUGUACAAUAACCAAUUCAGAACCGCAGCUCAUCAUACACUGCACAAUAACCAAUUCAGAAACAACAGCUCAUCAUACACUGCACAAUAACCAAUUCAGAAACAACAGCUCAUCAUACACUGUACAAUAACCAAUUCAGAAACAACAGCUCAUCAUACACUGCACAAUAACCAAUUCAGAACAGCUCACCAUACACUGUACAAUAACCAAUUCAGAACAGUUCAUCAAAAACUCAGUACAAUAACCAAUUCAGAAACUGCCAUGUAGCCCAAUAAAUCUUAAGUCAUAUUUGAAAAUGGUGAACUACCAUGAGAGCUUUAUUGCAAUCUUUUUGCAAGUUUUCUUAUAUUUGCUGCUCCUAAAAACUUCCUGUGAACAUUCAGUUUACCAUUGUUCCUGCAAACAACAGAUGAUGGACUCUUUCAAUCUUCCUGUGAACGAGCCAAUUUCUAGUGAAUUUACUACAAAGUAGUAGUGGUAAACAUAUGAAAACAAGAACUAUUUUCUCAUGUGAACACAUCUGUUUGCCACAAGUUUGAAGCAGACUUGUUAUAAAUUUGCAGUAUGUAUGUACAACAGUUUGGUUAUGGAGCAGAACUAUAUAGCUUAUAAACUCCAGAGCUAGCUUUCACAAUUAAACAUCUUGGAUUUUUUUUAUUUUGCAAGGUGAAAUAGGACUUAACUGAAUGAACAGAAAGGUCAUUGCUUCAUAGGUAAUUGACAUCUUUUUAUUUAAGAUAUGUGGAAACAAAUUCUUUUUUUUAGUACACAGAAAUUUCUGCAAUUAGCAUGUAGUUUCCAGCUAAAGAACAAGAUUGCUACUCGUAGCCAUGUCCCCCACCGCUGCAAAAAAAGUUGAAGCACAAAAGUCCCAUAACUCCUGUAAAAUUUGUAGAAUCAAAAUGUCGGCACAAUAUGAUCAACUACAUAUGGUGACUAACAAUCCUACAAAAUUUGAAUGAAAUCCGGUGAGCGGUUUCGGAAGAGUUGUGUCCAUAAAGUGUCUCUAUAGUGUAGCAUAUACACAUUCAACAAAGUUUCAUAACUCCUGUAAAAAUUGUCAAAUCAAAAUGACAGCGCAAUAUGAUCAACUACAAAUGGUGACUAACAAUCCUCCAAAAUCUGAAUGAAAUCCGGUGAGCGGUUUCGGAGGAGUUGCGUCCACAAAGUGUUCCUAUAGUGUACUAUGUACAAAUUCAACAAAGUCCAAUAACUCCUAUAAAAUUUGUCAAAUUAAAAUGGUAGCAUAAUAUGAUCAACUACACAUGGUGACUAACAAUCCCACAAAAUAUGAACAAAAUCCAUUGAGCGGUUUCGGAGGAGUUACGUCCACAAAGUGUUCCUAUAGUGUAGCAUGUACAAAUUUAACAAAGUCCCAUAACUCCUGUCAAAAUUGUCGAAUCAAAAUUCCGGCAUAAUAUGAUCAACUACACAUGGUGACUAACAAUCCUACAAAUUAUGAACAAAAUCCGUUGAGCGGUUUCUGAGGAGUUGCGUCCACAAAGUGUUCCUAUAGUGUAGCAUGUACAAAUUCAACAAAGUCCCAUAACUCCUGUCAAAAUAGUUGAAUCAAAAUUCCAGCAUAAUAUGAUCAACUACACAUGGUGACUAACAAUCCUACUUAAUAUGAACAAAAUCUGUUGAGCGGUUUCUGAGGAGUUGCGUCCACAAAGUGAAGUGGGACAGACACCGAUAUUUCUAUGUCCCCUUCCGCAUUGCGGUGGGGGACAAUUAACUGGUUCAUGGGCAUGAAUGAAGUGUCUGGUCAUAAGCAACUAUUAAGACUAGUAACAUUCGUUCCUGAGUGGACAGGCAGAUUGGUGCAGGAUAUAAUCUGCUAUAUUACCCUGAGCAGAUUGCAAGGUCAGGAUCUGAAUGAAGUAAAGCAGCUUAACCUCUUGGAACUCAUAAAUAUUGGUGUUAGGCUGGAUGAAGGCAGAUAACUUACUUAUAUACAAGGACCGGCCUAAUUACCAGGAACUGACACACCCACAAAUCCAAAUCCUCUAGGAUAAAGUAAACAACCACAAAGAGUGAAAAUUUCUCAGGCAAGAUCCCAUGGACAUUUAUUUUUCUCCAAUCAAAGAGUCUUGACCUUAUGAAAACCAAGAGAUCCAUGGGCCUUAUUGGUCACCUGAGAUUCAAGCACACACAACUUUAUUAGAAGUGUUGCACAUUGAUGGUGAGAACAAGCAACCUUUGUGUCAAGGGUGAUUUCUGAUCUCUGUUUAUUACAAUGUUACUCACUUAUAUUUUGUGUGUCAGUGACCAUGACCUCAUCUUAAGUUCAAGGUCAGGAAACACUGCUUCAAUUGUAAGCAAUGUCAAGUGUUAAAUUCUAUUACAAAGCUGUGGCUUGGACAGGCAUUUCAAUUUGCUAGUGUCUUUGAUCUUGGCCAGAUGUCCAUAGUUUCAGUCAAGUAUAAAUUAUCUACUCAUAAAUAACUUUUAAGCCAUGUAUGAAUUUGGGUGUUUCUCUGUAAUAAAAUAUUACCUGUGGUCAGAUAAUUUAAAUUCUUUUGAAUCUUUAGCCCAAUAUUAUGAAUUAGAUGUUCCAAAGAAAAGAGUAAUUAGAACAAAAGAUUCGAUGCAUCUUUAGUUUGUGAAUCAUAUAGCCCCACCUUGGAAUUGGCCCAGAAGUUGUGAGUCUCACCAUUUUGGUAGAGGCCUUCAAGCCCAUACAAUUUACAUUACAAAAGUCAAACUUGAUUUGUUGAUGUUCAUCAGAAAUCUACAUAGCAAGUUUUAUAUCUG